GCCAGGUGUGGUGGUGUGCGCCUGUAGUCCCAGCUACUUGGGAGGCCGAGGCAGGAGAAUCGCUUGAACCCAGGAGGCGGAGGUUGCAGUGAGCUGAGAUCGUGCCACUGCACUCCAGCCUGGGCAACAGAGUGAGACCCUGUCUCAA
ensembl:misc_RNA Metazoa_SRP Metazoan signal recognition particle RNA